CAUCAGAAUUUUCAAUAUCACUGAAUCAGAUGUAAAUAAUUAAUAAUAACUUACGUUUUACCGAUCCGUGGGCGUAGUAAGGUUAGUUUUCUAGAGCCUUAUUUAUCCCGCUUCUGACCUUUUGGGUGUCAGACAUAUAAAUUAAACAGGCUAACUUUGUUCACACUUUGCUUUAAUCUGCCAAUUUUACAUUGAUGCGUUUGGUUCUUGAUUUAUUCAUAAUUACUUUGGACUUCUUAUACAAAUUUUUACACACAACGCUACCGCGAUGUAAUUUUGUUAGCCUGUGACAUCUAUUGACGACAUUUGUCAACUGUUGAAUUUAUAACUUAACAAUAUUUUAAUGGUUUGCAAUAUAAACCUCAUAUUUAAUAAUAAUUCUUAAUAUGUACAGGACUCUAUAUAAUCAUAUAAAUAAUCAGAAACCUUACACUCUAUAUAAUCAUAUUAAUAUAAAUAAUCAUAAACCUUACACAAAGUACUGACAUUUAAUUUUAAGGCUAAAUAAAAAUUUUAUUUAUUUAUUUUUGUUGUUCUACUCAUUCAUUAUUUUUCCAUAUUUCCUUUGUUUCCUACCUCCUUCACUUAAUCCGAAAUAGCUCCUUAACUACUGGCUCGAUUUGAAUGAAUUUGGUAUCAAUUUAAAGUUGACAGUUGAACCUUUAAAAUGAUGUGACUUUUAUAAUAAUUACAAAUUUAUUUAGUAAGCAAGAUCGCACGGAACCAAUUUCAAAUUGAGUAUAUUCACUGUAUAAAAUUUCCUGGCACAGCCAUGGCCAUUUUUAUCUGAGGCAGAUACUGUAACACAUGCUAAUACUCUCCAGGUUAGAGCCCAUUUAUCAGUCAUGGCUCGAUUGUCCAUGAAGGAAAUUGGUGUAUAUACGGAACUAUCAAGACUUGCUUUAUAGUAGCUAUAAAUAAUAAAAGCACACAUAACAUUACGACUAUAUUACAACAUAUAUUUUGAAACUGCAUUCAUUUUACAUAAUCAUAAGAAGAGAUAUUGUAAUAAAAAAUAAAUUAUAUUAAAUUUAUAGCCUGGUUAUCCUUUACAUACUUCUCGACACACUGUGGA